rnacentral:lncRNA from 1 species
GACGGUUAAAAAAGCCCACUGAUGCUUAAUAGCAAAAGUUACGAAACGUUUAGAAUCAUUUCUUAUUCAGCACUGCUGGUUCAGUUAUUUAAACUGUGUAAAGCCAGUGCUGCCUGGCAUUCCCACAGCUGCUUGGGAGCUCUGUUGGGGUGCACUGCUCCCCCCCCCCCCGCCUUGGACCUGCGGGCACGUGCGUGCAAGCCAGGCUCCUCUGCUAUGUUCCUUUUCCCUCCAUAGCCAUCUGCUGGCCUCCUCCUUGUGUCCACCCUUCUGGGUCACAUAGGGCUGCUGGGCCAUCUCUUCCUGCAGCAGUCCUGUGCUUCAGCGUUACAAAGUCCUGCAGGAGUGCUUAUAGCGUCUGCCUGCUUUGUAAUACUAAAGCUUGUGCUUGCAGCUUGGAAGGAAGCGAAAGCAUGUCCUCAACAGGCGCAUGGUUCCACUGCAGCAAAACUGAUCUGUGCUGGCUUGCACAUGCAGGACAUGUCGCUUGGGCUACAAACUCCUCCCUGCUCCAGAGAAGACUGUGCAGCCACAAGAAUGAGGGUCCCUGUGCUCCAUGCCUGGUGGGUUCAGAGGCCCCUGUGCCUGGUACAAGCACACAGGAACCACCCUGGCCAGUCCCUUAGUUCAACAGACAGUCACACUAGCAGAAAAUGUAUGCUUAAAUCUUGUGGCAAAGUGUAAUUUUUUUAUUUGUGGAGGCUUUUGAAAAGGCUUGCCUAAAAAUGCAUUUCCAACAGGGCUUUCAGAAGCAGCAGCCCUCUUGGUCUCAAGCCAGGUAGCAAGGCAGUGAUUUGCAGCCACUCACUACAAUUUCUUGGGAAAGCUGCAUUCAGAGUGAAUCACUGACUGCACACCAGAUCCAGCUGAGAUUUGGACUCAAAUUGUUCAGAGUUAGCUCAACCAGAUUAUUUUUCUGACCAAAUCACCUGGCAGGACCGGGGGACAUCUGAGCCUCAGCUGUCCAUGCAACAGCUGCCAGCAGUUCCUGUGUUCAGGCAUAGAUGUGCCGUGUGAUGGUAAGGCAGUGGCAGCAGACAACUGGC